ACAACACAGAUCUAAACAUCGUUAUUUAAAAGUGCUGCCUCUGAAGAUUAGAUGAUGAAAGAAAACUCACUUUUCUUCACAGGUUCUUUAAACUCACCAUCAUGAGCUGCAACAGAGACUUUAUGGUUGGGGGUCGGGGGGCUCAGCCAAAGAGGUAAAUGGCCAUGGGUUUGAACUGCUGACUUCUUGCUGCAAGGCAAAGUCUCUUACCACUUCUCCAGUGUGUUACCCCUCAGAUGCCUGGUCUUCUGUCUCACCCCCUUCCUGCAGCAGACAGACAAGUGUCUCAGAGUCCUGGAGGAAACAUCUGUCCUGGUCAGGGAUUCUUCAUAAACCCAUGAUCCUGGACUCUGAUGAUCCACACAGCAGACCACAGUGGUCCCCGGGCCAAAGCUGUCAGCCCGCGGACCAUCGUCAGCCAUGGUUUACGAGCUCCUGUGAAACCAGCAGCACAAACACGGCCUAAAUGUAAAAAGCAGGAUUCCUCAGAUAAAGGAUGAUGAUGAUGAUGAUGGAGCAGAGUGGUGGGAAAAACACAAACAAAUAAAAGAGUCCCAGCCGCAAGGGAUCAUAAAAAAAACUUUAUUAUUGUCGUUAGGUAAGAUUGACAACAACAUGCUUUUACCACAAUAAAAAUAAAGAGAUAUUGCACUGGUUUAACUCUAGCAGUGUUUUCUUUUUCCCCAUCUUAAUGUGUCUCAAGCUUUUACAGUGCACAGCCCCCCCCCUCCUCCCCCCCGUGACACACAAGGUGGAAAAUACUGCCAUCGUCUGCAAGAGUCAAGUCAACAAAGGCCUUUGUACUGAUCGACCUCCUCACACACUGACACGACACUGACACCACCAACUGGGACACCACUGACACAUAUGAGCUUUACAUUCACUGUGUGUGUGAGAGAGUGUGUGUGUGUGUGUGUGUGUGUGUUUUGUGGCAGUCAUAACCCUGUUCAUCCACAGAUCUAAAUUCUUUAAAAUUGUUUAAUCCUCCUUGUGUCCAGACACAUGUCUCUGACCUCUGACCCCUGUACAGAGGCCCAGCAGACGUGUGACAUUUAUUCACUCGGACACUAAAGUGUGAGCUCAGACUGAGUCACAAGGGGGCGUCACAACCAUUCACACUCACAUUCACACCUAUGGUCAGUUCAGAACAUCAAACUAGUCUGUGGAGGAACCUGGAGAACCUUCUGCUAAGUUCUCUGAAAAAGAGCAGCACAGGUGUAUGCUGGGUAAACAGUUGCACUAAUUUGACAAAGACCAAGUGUUUGAGUAAAUUGGACAGAACAGAGUGGCCUGGAGGAUGCUGGGUAGUGGUGAUAUCGUUGGUGGCCAAACUGACCCUGUGUGUGUGUGUGUGUGUGUGUGUGUGUGUGUGUGUGUGUGUGUGUGUGUGUGUGUGAGAGGCUCUGCAGCUUCAGUGUGAGACUGUGAUCAAUGCCCACGGACAGAGACCUGGGCCUGCUGCUGAGUCUGCACCUCGUCCUCCCUUCUGCCCUCAGGUAACCUCCAGGAGUCUAACAGGGUCUCCCAGGGGGUUCCUGCAGGGUCAGGUUUCUAUGGUGACCGCCGGGUGGGUUACCUCGGACCACUGACAGGGAUGGAUGAAGGAGAAGAAGUGAGGUGAAGCAGACGGAGAGGGCUAAAGGUAGAGGAGAGAUAAAAGAUGAGGGGGCAGAAGCAGGUGAAGAGGGGAGGUGAAGAGGGGAGGUGAAGAGGGGAGGUGAAUUCUGUAAUGAGGUGGUGACACAUGGAGGAGGCUGUUGUGUACAGAACGGACGGAGGAAGGACUGAUGUGGCCCAGAUGUGACCAGUGUAAGCCUUCUGUUUUAGAUUGGUUUUGACCCAGACUUGGUCAAUAGCAGUACCACUGGUACUGUCAUUAACCACUGGUACUGUCAUUAACCACUGGUACUGUCAUUAACCACUGGUGCCGUCAUUAACCGCUGGUACCAUCAUUAACCACUGGUACCGUCAUUAACCACUGGUACUGUCA